rnacentral:rRNA from 1 species
AAUGAACGCUGGCGGCGUGGUUAAGACAUGCAAGUCGAACGGUGUUUUGGAUGUAGCAAUACAUGUGAAACGCAGUGGCGAACGGGUGCGUAACACGUGAACAAUCUACCUUCGAGUGGGGAAUAGCUCGCCGAAAGGCGAAUUAAUACCGCAUAUGGUUGGUGCUCUCCUGAGUGCCAUACCAAAGCCGGGGACCGCAAGGCCAGGCGCUGGAAGAGGAGUUCGCGGCCUAUCAGCUAGUUGGUGAGGUAACGGCUCACCAAGGCUAAGACGGGUAGCCGGAUUGAGAGAUCGACCGGCCACACUGGAACUGAGACACGGUACAGACACCUACGGGUAGCAGCAGUUUCGAAUCAUUCACAAUGGGCGAAAGGCUGAUGGUGCGACGCCGCGUGAGGGAUGAAGGUCUUCGGAUUGUAAACCUCUGUCACUGGGGAAGAAACGCUAAGUUCUAAUACAAUUUAGCCUGACUUAACCCGGAGAGGAAGCAGUGGCUAACUCUGUGCCAGCCGCCGCAGUAAAAC